GCUGUGUCCAAAUUCGGGUUCUGCAUCCUCCUGAGGCCGUGGCCUUCGCGAUCUCCAAUGGCAGGGUGCUUCGUUAGCGGGUCGACCAGAUGAUAAGUUCAGUGAAUUUGGACGGUCUAGCCUUGUUUUUUUUUUAUAACUUUAUUGAACGAACAAAACAACAAAAGCUGUUAUAACUUUGCUAGCUAGUUUCCUGUAGCCUGGCUGGCCACCGUGAGUUGAACGUGUUGUGAAUCAUUUAGUUCGAAAUAAUUCUGAGUUUUUUUUAUUUAACUUUUACUUUUGGAGGAGUUGGAGCAGAUCCAUCGCCACCACCGGCACUUGUUGGUAUUUUUCCGGCGGAGACAAAACGAUCUGCAGACUAGACUCCUGUAAUGCAGAAUCAAUCCAGGAGCUGUUUGUCCAACAGUGAAGACCCAAGACCAGACUUCAUAGUGAAGAGGAACUCUCCUGGAGUCUUCCUGAACCUCCUUGAUCAGGAUCUGUGACAUCCACAUCCUCCUGCAGGUGUUGGAGCUGCAUCACACCUCUGUACCUCAUGUUGUCACAGCGUGUGCCAUCCUCCACAACAUCUGCCUCUGUGUUGACGACACCGAGGCCCCAGAGGAAGAUGUGGAGGUGACGAGGAGGAAGCUGGUUUGGAGGUCACCAGCGGUGCUCUCUGGCAAGACCAACUACCUGCUGAGGUUUCUGCCCUGGAGGAGGUACCACCUUGAUUACUGG